GUUUGACUACCUCAAGGUAGAUGGUUGGUAUACAUUAGGUCCAGUCUAGUGUAGUGUGACUACCUCAAGGUAGAUGGUUGGUAUACAGUACGUCCAGUUUAGUGUAGUGUGACCACGGCAAGGUAGAUGGUUCCUAGCCUGUGUAGCCAGGUGGUGGUGCAAGGACAGUGGUGGGGUACCCGAGUGUCCGUCUGUUCUGUCCGUGAUGUCAGAGGAUGUCCUCCCGCCGGGCCAUGUCACGGGACGCUAGCGGGGCUGUCAGUCACAGCGUCAGUGGUGUGUCAGUGGUAGCUUGGUCUUCUGCUGGGAACAUCGGACUAUCACUGACCAGUGUCUAGGUGUGCCAAGUAUGGCUGGCAUGAUUGGAAGCAUGUAGAAUGUUAUACAUAGCGCCCUCCCUAGUAUAUCUACUCAGGAAAUGUAUUCAUUUGUCCCCCUUUGAUUCAUUUAUUGCAAAGGUAUGUUUACCAGGAAAGUACUAGCUACAACUAUUGCUUAUACCAUUGUAUACCACAGAGAGUUUUAUCACUAUAUCACAAGGAUCUUGUUGGCUUGCAGUAACGACUUAUUAUCAUGUUGGCUUUUUUGGGUUUCCUUUUGGUUGUACAUGUAUUUGGAAGAGCAACUUUUUGACCUUG